GGUGGAGAAGAGCUGUGGCACCUAUAGAAGAAGCGAAUGUGACUCUGGAUCCAGACACGGCUCAUCCCAAACUCGUCCUGUCUGAGGAUCGGAAAAGUGUGAGAUGGGGAGGCAUGUGGCAGCAUCUGUCCAACAACCCUGAGAGAUUUGACACUGUGUUCUGUGUGCUGGGCUGUGAGGGAUUCACCUUGGGGAGACAUUGCUGGGAGGUAGAGGUGGGGGAUGGGACAUUUUGGGCUGUAGGGGUGGCCAGAGAGUCUGUAGGGAGGAAAGGAUGGAUCAGCCGUAGCCCAGAGGGAGGGAUCUGGGCUGUGGAGUGGUGGUGGGGUCAGUUCCGGGCUCUCACCUCCCCUGUGACCCUCCUGCCCCUAACCCGGGCCCCCAGCAGGAUCCGGAUUUGUCUGGACUGUGAACGGGGUCAGGUGACAUUUAUCGAUGCUGGUGAUGACACCCAGAUCUUCACUUUCCCACCGGGCUUCAUCCCUCGGGAGAGAAUCCGACCCUGGCUCUGGGUCUUGGGACCCCAGCUCAGACUGUGUCCGUGAUACUGGGGACCCUGAAAUUAGCAUCUCUUACCUCACACACCCCAGUCUCUAUGAAUCUGGAGGACUCCCAUCUAUCCAGCCUCUGGCUUCUCAUCUCUAUGACCCCUGGAAGCUCCUUCCCCUCCCUGCAUCCCCAGGGAUGGAAGGGGGGUGAAGAACCCCUGUAGCUGCAGAAGGAGCAGAGGGGCCCUGAAGGGCAGAGGUGGGGGCUGGGCAGGGGGCAGAACUAACAGCCGGGCUGGGGACAGGUGGAUGUGGGGGUGGCGGCGACACAGCAUGAAUCAAUCAGGGUUUGGGGGGUUGGGGAGAAGCUGGAAGCUCUGCAGCAGCAGGGAGCGGUUUGUACAGAUCUGUGUCAUUGGAUCUCAUUGGGGUCUCCCAGCCAGAGCUCCUGAUGCAGGGGCCCAAGGCACUUUCCCCUGUAACUACGGGAGAGCUGGUAACACUGGAUGAGAGAGUUCAAAAAUCAGAAGAUAAACCAGAAUACAUUGUUUGGAGCCCUCGUGUUUGCGGGGGGGGCAAUUUCACGAUCGUUGGCUCUGACUCAUGAUUAUUAAGUUCUGGGAUUGGUAACACUGCGAGAGUCAUUGAUUGGGGGAGGUGCAGGCUGGGCUGAAAAAGAGAAAACCCAAGAAAAAGAUAAAGUAAAACAAGAAAGGGUGAAAAUUAAAUAUCAAAACAAGGAAAGGAAAACACUCUGAAGAAGGGAAAGAGCCAGAGGCAGUGAGAGGGGAAGGGAUAAAUUCAGGGGAAAGAAUGGAGACCAUGAGGGGAAUGAUCUGUGACAGGGAUCAGAGGAGAGUGGAAGACACAGAGAAAUAAACAGGGAUGGGAAAUGAGUGCUAGAAAAAUGGUGAGUACAAAUGACCAGUGUGACAGAGAAGGGGGGAAAAAAGGGACAGAGAAUUAUAAAACGUCACUGAAGGUGCAACUGUCACUCAUUUAUUUCAUUUGUUACUUCCUUGACUUUGUUGCCAUUUUAGUGUCAUUAAAAAUAACUGUUCCCAAAA